GCUGUACAGGGUCCUCUGUAGCAUGGUGCCUUAUUCCAAUGAGGUGUUUUGUCAGAAAAAGAGUAGUGGAAGCAGCCCCAGAGUCACUAUCUGUGUUGUAGAUGGUAUCUGAUCUCAAAGAGAAGAGGGAGAGAGGAAUGAAGCCCGUCAGCAUCCUUUCUUGGAAACACACCUGCCUGCAGUGAGUCUGUCCCACAGCAAGUGUGGUGCUCUGCUCCCACGACCCUGCCAGCCCAAGCUCAGACGUUCCUUCAGCUGCCACGUGUGAAGGUACACUUGAAGAGUGAAGAGCUGCAUAAGUUCUUAGCAGAAGAAAGGAGGGGUACAGCACUGUAAUGCCAGGGAUGAAAAGCCCAUCCCUUGUUUGGUGCUGGACACUAGGGUGAACUCACGAUAUUGCAGGAUUCUGGAGCUGACAGCAAAUAGCAGCUCAUGGACUCAAGGUGUUAAAAAGAUUACAAGACAGAACAUCUCAUACAAGACAGCUCAUCUUAUUCAAGAUUGUUGUAGGAAGAUUUUUGCACUGUGAUUACUGAACAAAGAUAUUUUUCUGCGCAAAAGAACCAUUUAAGGCAUUGGACCUGAAGAUGAACUUACUGUGUUUUGACAAUGGCCAUUUACUGAAGUUUGAAUUUCCAGGGCUCCAAUUACACAUAUUUUUGUAAGCCCGUUCAUACUACACAUGAGACUGAGAGAAAGCAAAUGCUCCCUGCUGGGGUGGAAUUUUUGACUUGACUGUUCUCUUAGUGUUCAUGUAAAAGUCAGAGAAGCACUGUGGUUUUGGACCAUGUCAACUCAUACCACAUACUGUGAUCUUAUACUCUACAGGCCAGAUAUGACUGACUUACAGCUCAGUUUUCAUUUGAACUGAGACUUGAUUCUUCAGUAUUUUUAAUGAAGCACACUUGCAUGUACCCUGGGUAGGCAGGCUGGCGGGAAGACAUCUCUGGGAUGAAAUCACGCUCCCACAAUGGAGCCAGUCACUAGGUUGUCUCAAGUCCCUAUCUAGGCAACUGCUUGUUUUGUGCUAUGCAAUGAUGAUGCCUUCAGGGCCACUAGCUCAUGCUGUCUCACCAAAACUCUCCUUUAGAUGAAUGUCCAUGGGUGAAACCUUUUGCAAGUGAAGGAAUUAAAUGUCACACCUUUGCUCCAUAUACAUGUCCAUGUCAGACACUGUUUUGUCAGACUGCAAGUGUGCUGCCAUCUGUCACGUGGCCAACACAGGCAGAAUAUCAGUGGGAAGGUUCAGCUUAUACUACCAUGCCACCAACAUCCACCUCUGACGUCAUCUGCUGACAUAAUGAAAUAGCAGAUACUGCUUUCAGUGCAGCCCUCAUAUAAGGCUUCAGUUUCUCCAGAAAAAAACAACGAAGGAAAAUACUGUAAGCACAUAAAAUAUAUAAACUGAUAGUACUUCACAAAGCUUACUUGUUAUGUAGUGAAAUUAAGCAUUUGAGUUUUAAUUUUGAUAAGUUAUUAGCUUUUAUUUUUUUUUGUAGUUCAUUUCCAUGCUUGCUCAAUGCAUAAGAACUCGGGUAAGUACCACAUUUCCACUAGCUGAACUUUAUGGCAAUCCCAGAGAUUAAAUUUUAAAAUUUUAUGAUGCUUAUUAAUAGGAAAUAGAUAUGCCUAUGUGCUUAAAAUUAUGGUGCAGAGUAUCUUCAAACGAGAACUGCUUUUAAAUCUUUCCACUGGAGAUAGCAAGGUAAGGUAAAUUAAGAUGGAAUUUUAAGGUUCGUCUGUUUAAGGGUCUUUCUAAUGCAAAUACUCUUACAUGAGAUGAGCAUUUUUUUGGUG